AGCUAUUACAGGUCUUUUACAAUUUUGCUCACAGGUUUUCAGACUUCAGUCAAAAACUCAU
rnacentral:snRNA from 1 species